GACGAACGCUGGCGGCGUGCCUAACACAUGCAAGUCGAACGGGACUGGGGGCAACUCCAGUUCAGUGGCGGACGGGUGCGUAACACGUGAGGAACAUGACUUUCGGUGGGGGAUAGCCGGCCCAACGGCCGGGUAAUACCGCGUACGACCUCUCGGGAACAUCCCCGGUUGGUGAAAGCAGCAAUGCGCCGAAAGAGUGCCUCGCGGCCUAUCAGCUAGUUGGUGGGGUAAUGGCCCACCAAGGCGACGACGGGUAGCUGGUCUGAGAGGAUGGCCAGCCACAUUGGGACUGAGACACGGCCCAGACUCCUACGGGAGGCAGCAGUGGGGAAUAUUGCGCAAUGGGCGAAAGCCUGACGCAGCGACGCCGCGUGUGGGAUGACGGCCUUCGGGUUGUAAACCACUGUCGGGAGGGACGAAUGCCCCGCAAGGGGAGUGACGGUACCUCCAAAGGAAGCACCGGCUAACUCCGUGCCAGCAGCCGCCGUAAUAC
rnacentral:rRNA from 1 species